rnacentral:miRNA from 1 species
CUAAGCCAUCUCUUCAGCCCCAGUCAAAAGUUUAUAAGGGCUAGAGAGAUGGCUUAG